AGACGUCUACGUCGGGAGUCCGGUCCGAACGCAACCUCUGGUCCCGAAGGUCGCAGCUCCGGUCUCAGAAGGGAUCUCUGCAAAGGCGUUCGCUCUGGAGUAAAACGUGAAGUAGGUCUUUUUCGUCGUUACGUUGCGGCCAGAUGUCGAUCCGGGAUACUUCAUGGUAAUGGCGUCUUCUGCGGAUGUU
rnacentral:rRNA from 1 species